GAUCCUGGCUCAGGAUGAACGCUGGCGGCGUGCUUAACACAUGCAAGUCGAACGGAGUUUUAAACGGAAGUCCUCGGAUGGAAGUUAGAACUUAGUGGCGGACGGGUGAGUAACGCGUGGGUAACCUGCCUCAUACAGGGGGAUAACAGUCGGAAACGAUUGCUAAAACCGCAUAACAUAGCGAAACCGCAUGAUUUUGCUAUCAAAUAUUUAUAGGUAUGAGAUGGGCCCGCGUCUGAUUAGCUAGUUGGUGGGGUAAUGGCCUACCAAGGCGACGAUCAGUAGCCGGCUUGAGAGAGUGACCGGCCACAUUGGGACUGAGACACGGCCCAAACUCCUACGGGAGGCAGCAGUGGGGAAUAUUGGACAAUGGGGGAAACCCUGAUCCAGCGACGCCCGCGUGAGUGAAGAAGUAUUUCGGUAUGUAAAGCUCUAUCAGCAGGGAAGAUAAUGACAGUACCUGACUAAGAAGCCCCGGCUAACUACGUGCCAGCAGCAGC
rnacentral:rRNA from 1 species